rnacentral:lncRNA from 1 species
CACCGUCUAGGACUGUCAUCGCCAUCCGUGAUCUUCUGUUCGACGACAUGCUAAGCCAAUCAAGGAAGAAUGGCGGAAACGUCGGUGAUGGCUGUGAGAAAUUGAGCAUCAACAAGAAAAAGGUGCACCAGGCAGAGAAGAUGAUCAGGGGGGCACUGGUUGAGCUGUACAAGGGCUUGGGGUACCUGAAGACGUACCGGUAGGUGUAGCUCAUGACAUGGUGUGUAGUAAUGCUUUGUGCACCAAACUGAUACUGACAGGGAGAGCAUUCUUGUUGCAGGAGCUUGAACAUGUUGGCUUUUGUGAAGAUUUUGAAGAAAUUUGACAAGGUUCCUCCCAAUGCAUCUCUCCUUAUUGCAUUGCCUGAGAAAUCACAUAUGAGCAUUGCUGAAAAAAAAAACUCAUGUUUCAGGUUACAGCAAAGGAAGUCCAGACAAUUUACCUGAAAGUCGUGGAGAGCUCCUAUUUUAAUAGCUCUGACAAGGUAUUUUGCAAUGAUACAGCAGUCUUGAGAAGCUUUGAAGCAUUUCAUUUCCAUCAAAACUUCAAAGUUUCCUGGUUUUGACUGAAAUUCUCAUCUCAAUAGGCAAUCAGGCUAAUGGAUGAUGUUGAGGAGCUGUUUGUUAGACAUUUUGCCAAUGGUGAUAAAAGGAAAGCAAUGAAGUAUCUCAAGCCAAAUCAGAAGGAAGAAUCACACUCUACCACAUUUUUCAUAGGUACAAUAGUUUUCUUGUAAGCUUUGCAUCGUUCCUUCGUCAGGAUAAUUUCCAAGUCCUUGUGCACUACUGUCAAAUUUUCAGGUCUAUUCACUGGUGGGUUUGUAGCACUAUUCAUCGGUUAUUGUAUCAUGGCACAUAUAGCUGGGAUGUACACUCAACAAUCAAACAAGGUCUACAUGUCAACAUCCUAUCCUGUCCUUAGGUCAGCACCCAACAUGUCAAUUCAACUGCUACUACUCUGAAGAAACAAAAUGUGUUAAAACUCAGACACUACAGUACUGACAUUAAAUGAUCCCAAACUGCAGCAUGUUCAGCCUCUUCUUUCUACAUCUCUUCGCCUACGGAUGCAACAUCUUCAUGUGGAGAAAGACACGCAUAAAUUACACGUUCAUAUUUGAAUUCACACCUACCAAAGAGCUUAAGUAUCGUGAUGUGUUCUUGAUAUGCACUACGUCUAUGACGAUUGUUGUCGGUGUCAUGUUUGCACACCUGACACUCAUUGUAAAAGGGUAUUCUUCAAGUGCAGUUCAAGCAAUCCCAGGGUGUCUACUACUGGUAUGUUCUAUUCAACAUUGCAAAUGUGAAAUUGUUGCUUAUUUUUGUCUGUUCCUGUUGUUAUAUCCAUAUGAGGCUGAUGCUUCUAUUUAUUAUGUAUUUCAGGUGUUCUUACUAAUGUUGGUCUGCCCUUUCAAAAUCCUCUACCGAUCAAGUCGUUAUGACUUCCUAAGAGUGAUCAGGAACAUCAUUCUAACCCCCUUUUACAAGGUAAUUUUCUAUAGUUAAAGAGCGGCACAUUUGAUAAGUAGAUGACAUGCAUUUUCCAUAUCAGAAACAUAUGUUAAAUUCCUAUUUAUAUACAGGUUGUUAUGGUUGAUUUCUUCAUGGCUGAUCAGCUUUGUAGUCAGGUAACAUCAUAACAGAAGCUAAAUGUUCGACGCGUUCAAUUGUGCAAACUUAAGACACUAAAGAUAGUUUCUAGAGUUUAGAGCAUCAGAUUAUUUUAAAUUUAGAAAUGACUAAUAAAGUAAUGACUACUGGCAAAUAGGUACCGGUGCUUAGGAGCCUAGAGUACCUGGCAUGUUAUUACAUAACCAGCAGCUACAAGACGCAAGACUAUGGAUACUGCACAAGAGUGAAACAUUUUAGAGAUUUGGCUUAUGCAGUAUCCUUCCUUCCCUACUACUGGAGAGCCAUGCAGGUAUAGAGAUGGAACAUGACUUGCCAAAUCAGAAUGUCCAUUCGUCAGACUUUCUAAAGGUAGUGAUACCCUUUUCUUAUUCUUAUGGUUGUCCUGACAGUGCGCAAGGAGAUGGUUUGACGAAGGGGACAUAAACCACCUUGUCAACCUUGGGAAGUAUGUGUCAGCGAUGCUUGCUGCAGGAACAAAAUUAGCAUAUGAGAAUGAUAACAGUGCUGGAUGGCUGUCACUAGUCGUCAUCGUGUCGAGUGUCGCCACUAUCUACCAACUCUACUGGGACUUCGUUAAGGAUUGGGGCCUUCUACAGUUCAACUCCAAGAACCCUUGGCUUCGUAACGAUCUGAUACUUAAACAAAAAUACAUCUAUUUCUUAUCCAUGGUAUGUUCUCUAAAAAUAUCAAGGUUUACAUCAAACCUUUUUGAGAAAAUAAAAAUUGUGUGAUGUACUUACAGAGAGUAACAUUUUACAGGCUUUGAACCUUCUUUUGAGGCUUGCUUGGCUUCAGACUGUCAUCCACCCUAACAUUGGAAGCCUCGAUUCUAGAGUAACUCUUUUCUUUUUGGCAGCUCUUGAGGUGAUUCGACGAGGCCAUUGGAACUUCUACAGGUAACUUUAUUGCCAAUGAAU